rnacentral:rRNA from 1 species
GGGAGCGGCAGACGGGUGAGUAACGCGUGGGAACAUACCCUUUGGUUCGGAAUAACUCAGGGAAACUUGGGCUAAUACCGGAUACGUCCGUAAGGANNAAGAUUUAUCNNNNAAGGAUUGGCCCGCGUCCGAUUAGCUAGUUGGUGAGGUAACGGCUCACCAAGGCUACGAUCGGUAGCUGGUCUGAGAGGAUGAUCAGCCACAUUGGGACUGAGACACGGCCCAAACUCCUACGGGAGGCAGCAGUGGGGAAUAUUGGACAAUGGGCGCAAGCCUGAUCCAGCCAUGCCGCGUGAGUGAUGAAGGCCUUAGGGUUGUAAAGCUCUUUUGUCCGGGAAGAUAAUGACUGUACCGGAAGAAUAAGCCCCGGCUAACUUCGUGCCAGCAGCCGCGGUAAUACGAAGGGGGCUAGCGUUGUUCGGAAUCACUGGGCGUAAAGCGCACGUAGGCGGACCGUUAAGUCGGAGGUGAAAGCCUGGGGCUCAACCCCAGAACUGCCUUCGAUACUGGCGGUCUUGAGUAUGGU